GUGUGCCCUUCCGGUCUUGGCCACAAAAUUUUAAGGAUCCUUAAGUCCAAGGGACUUGCCCCAGACCUUCCAGAGGAUCUGUACCACUUGAUCAAGAAAGCUGUUGCUGUUCGGAAACAGAAAGGAUAAAGAUGCCAAAUUUCGUCUAUUCUGAUUGAGAGCAGAAUUCACAGGCUGGCUCGUUACUACAAGACCAAGAGAGUACUCCCACCCAACUGGAAGUACGAGUGAUCCACGGCUUCAGCUCUGGUCGCAUAAGAGUUCACUCUUCUUUUUACUGAAAGAAUAAAGUCACAUUAAAGACCAA